UUUAAAUAUUUAUAUGCUGUGCCCAUUUUUACAGCCACACAGCCAACUCUCAUCACAGGUAUAAGUCAGGGUAGGCAGUAGAAGAGCUUCAGGAAGGAUCCUGCCCGAGGCUGUUUUCUCUUGCAGUAACAAAAUACCUGUGACUGGGUACUUUAUAAAGAGGCUUAUUGGGCUCAGAAUUCUGAUGGCUAGAGGGUCCAACUAGCAUGGCCCCAGUGGUCUGGAGAAAGCCCACUCGCUGUAUCACAGCAUCUCAGAGAAACAGAAAGGGACACCAACUGCAUGCUGCAGAGGUCAAGUACAUGAGGUGGCCUCACUUUAUAGCCAUUUGUUUACAUGAGCACUAACUCACUUCAGAGCCCAGCAUUAAUCCCUUCAGAAGGCAGUGAGUGUCCCUGCAACCUAAUGAUCUCCCACUAAGCCCCGCAUUGUAAAGGUCCUGCCACCUCAACACCACCACCACCCUGAGGACUGAGCUUCUGGGACAUGAACCUCAAGAAGAUGCUCUCAAACCAUAGGUCAACCAUAGCAGAUACCCCGAUAUUUCCCCAAAGGAACCCCCCACGAACCUUUGGUUUACUAGAUAAAAUUGUUUGAAAUGUAACUUCUAUCUUCUCAUCUCUACAUAGACAGCUUGCUAACCUCUUAAUAUGUACCAUUCUGGUAUGUUGAUAGGCCUGGCGCUGAAGGGAAGGAAUGGUAAGAAAUAACUAAGACAUAAUCUUUGACCAAAAAGGGCUGACAAUUAGUGACGGAGAACCCACGAAAGACGUGCAUAGCUUCUUCUCUUAAGGAAUUCAUAGUGCAAAUUGGGAAAAGUGAAAUAUCGGUCACAGAUAAAAGAAACUAUUGAUUUAUUGCACUGGUGAGGACAGGGAGCAGGAUUCUGGCUAUGUCUGGUCUUCUGGUGACCUGACUGGGUUUUAUUUAACAUUUUGAGUCCUCACACAUGGGUCCCUAUAAGUCUAUGAAGACAGUUCAACCACUUGUCCUUGUCCUUACUUCCCAGUUGAUAGACUAGCAAGGAAUGACACUCAUUUUUCACAUUUACACUAGACCAAGGAAGUAUUAGCCCAGAACUUCUGUCUACCAUUAUAUAAUCUUGGGCAAAUUACUUAACCUUCUGCCCUUCAGUUUCCUCACCUGUAAAAUGUGAUAUACAUAAAAUUGCAAUUAUUUUGGAGGGCAAAAAUACAGAUCACUCAAACUUAAUUUUAGCACAUAUUAAACAUUCAAGCUGAUAGGUAUCAUUUCUAUUCUCUUCAUAUUUUGCUACAGAAUCAGUAAAAACAGAUUACACCAAUGCCCUCUUUCCGGUCAAAAAUUCAUAUCUGAAUACUCAUGAAUGGUUUUCAAGGGAAUGAUUGAACUGUUUGUUAGAUGUAUUAUAAACUUUUUUUUUUUUUGCUUUUGCUUUUAGAAGGUCUGUUAGUCAGCUUUUCAAUACUGUGACCAAAGUGAUGAUGAGAACAUCUUAAAAGAGGAAAAGAAUAUUUUGGAUGACCACUUCAGAAGUUUCAGUUUAAGUUGGGCCAUUUCCAUUGCUCUGGGACCAAGUAACUGAAUCCAAGGAGAAGGUCAUGGGAACUCACAAUUUAUAGCCAGUUGAUGAGAAGCACCGGUCACAACCUGGGACCUGAGAUCAGCAUCCAAAGAGGAAGGCAAUCUUGUGAGACUGAGUCCUGAAGCUGUGGGGUCUACACUGACUCUGAUUCGUGUCAGAAGUGAACUUCAUCUUAGGACAUCCAGUUGAUACCUGCUGGAGAACUGAUGUGCGGGGAAGAAAACAAAUGAAACAGACCUCUGGUGCCAGAAGUGCCCAUGUUGUAUUGAAUGAGAGUGUAAUAGGGGACAAAACACUUUGUUUUUCCUUCCCUAUGUAGUGAACCAGCCAAGUGAAAGAAAGGGAUGAAGAAACCUGUUUUUGCUUUGAAUCCUGUGUUUUCUGUCUGUAGAGGAGAAAACAGGUAAGAUACUCAGGCCACAGAAUGGCCAGGUAAAACACAGGGAGCUCAGAGCCAUCAAACUCAGCACUUUCGAUAGAUUAACCACUGGACACAUAUGCCCAGGAAUCAAGGACAAGGACCAAAUCCGGAUACUUGAAAAAUCUUACCUUCACUCUAAAUGGGCUCAACUGGUCAUUGAGAAUGAUAUUGGUAAUUUUGGAAUAGGGUCUGUCUGUACACCAGCAAAGCACUUGGGUGCACUAGGAAAGAAAUGUAAAGAAAACAGAUGAGCUGUAUAUAAACUGACACUGUAAGGAAACAUGAAAAAUUAAACAUGAUUAUGAAGAUGAUGUCUCUAUUAUUUAGUAUAUUACAGAUUAUUAUAUUUUCUCACUAAUUCCCCUCUGGCUUUAUGCUUAAAAUAUAUAUAUACUAAAUCACUGGUCUUCUUAACAUCCAUGAACCCUUUCAGAUACGUUUCAAAACCUGUCCAGAAUAUAUUGCAAAUAUUCUUUUCAAUGAAUAAAUACAUCACUGAGGUGAUUCUAAAUAAACCAAAUGUUAAAAAA